UACGUAGGGUGCAAGCGUUGUCCGGAAUUAUUGGGCGUAAAGAGCUCGUAGGCGGUCUGUCGCGUCUGCUGUGAAAACUCAGGGCUUAACCCUGAGCUUGCAGUGGGUACGGGCAGACUAGAGGUGCGGUAGGGGAGACUGGAAUUCCUGGUGUAGCGGUGAAAUGCGCAGAUAUCAGGGAGGAACACCGGUGGCGAAAGGCGGGUCUCUGGGCCGUAACUGACGCUGGAGGAGCGGAAAAGCAUGGG
rnacentral:rRNA from 1 species